AUUUUUUUAAAUAGGGUGCCUCAGAAAGCGUGUAGUAGAGAAAAAAAAAAGAAUUUUCUUCUUCUUCUUCUCUUCCUCCCAGUAGUUGCCGCCUCUCCAAAUUUUUCUUUUCUUCCCAGCCGAUCUUCUUAGUCCAGCUGCACGAGGAGUCCACCGCAAGUCCAGCCACUCGCAGUCGCGCUUCGUUUCGUCCGACAUACGCCACAAGUCUAACUGCUCGCAGUCGCACCUCCUUUCGUUCGACGACCAUCGCGCGUCAGGAAACUCCUUCUUUUUAAUUUCGUGCAUCCCGCUGUAGGUUUGAGCUGCUUGGCCGCUUAGGACAGCGCUGCUCGCACUCAGCUUCCAUCUUCUCCAGUCGCGCCCUGCCAAGUUCGCCAACCGCCAGCCCAGUCCAAGCGUCAUCCGCCUGUCCUAACACAGACAGUUCCAGUUGUCGUCGAAUCGGGAAUCUAGUAGUGGUGAAGGUGGCUACUAGGCAAAGUGAAAGUCCGUUCGGACAGUUCGGUAUCCUUAGGUUGGACGAUUUUUUUUUUUGGUGUUGGGAGAUUGUUCGAGUGUGUGGGUUUUGUUGCUUUUGUUCUUGCAUUGAAUUGCUCGUUGGGUCAAACUUAGGUAAGUGGUUUACUACCAGUUUUCCCUCAAUCCCAAGCAUGUGUUACUUAUUGGUUCCUUAGUUGAAAUAAAAUAUUUUGAUAUGCCUGUUGGUCAGAUGAAAAUUUUAAAAGCUUACGCUUAUGUCACAGUAUGUCAAUGUUGUAUGUCGCUGCAAAGUUUGAUGGAUGGAUAAAUUGUGAACUAUUGGAUGAUCUUGGCAUGAUUUAUGACCUUGUUUUCAUGCUUAUGUCUGUUUGAGAUUUCAGUGACUGUUAGUGUUGCCAUUGGGCUAUGCACAUCGCAUGUUGUGAGCCUUCAGGCCACACCCUAUG